rnacentral:rRNA from 1 species
UAACCUGCUAAAUAGUUACAUUCACUUUGGUGGAUGCUUAACUUCUUAGAGGGACUAUGGAUGUUUAAUCCAUGGAAGUUUGAGGCAAUAACAGGUCUGUGAUGCCCUUGAUGUUCUGGGCCGCACGCGCGCUACACUGAUGAAAUCAGCGAGUUAUUCACCUUGGCUGGAAAGCCUGGGUAAUCUUCUGAAACUUCAUCGUGCUGGGGAUAGUCACUUGUAAUUUUGACUUGAACGAGGAAUUCCUAGUAAGCGUGAGUCAUCAGCUCACGUUGAUUACGUCCCUGCCCUUUGUACACACCGCCCGUCGUU